AAGGGUAUAGCUCAGUGGUAGAGCGCAUGCUUAGCAUGCAUGAGGUCCUGGGUUCCUAUCCCCAGUACCUCCU
rnacentral:tRNA from 1 species